AGUUAAUUAACUUAAUUAAAGUUUGUAUUUUGAAAAUACAAUAUGUGAGUUCGAAUCUUAUAUUAACUU
rnacentral:tRNA from 1 species